rnacentral:rRNA from 1 species
GAUGAACGCUGGCGGCGUGCCUAAUACAUGCAAGUCGAGCGAACGGACGAGAAGCUUGCUCCUCUGAUGUUAGCGGCGGACGGGUGAGUAACACGUGGAUAACCUACCUAUAAGACUGGGAUAACUUCGGGAAACAGGAGCUAAUACCGGAUAAUAUUUUUAACCGCAUGGUUCAAAAGUGAAAGACGGUUUUGCUGUCACUUAUAGAUGGAUCCGUGCUGCAUUAGCUAGUUGGUAAGGUAACGGCUUACCAAGGCAACGAUGCGUAGCCGACCUGAGAGGAUGAUCAGCCACACUGGAACUGAGACACGGUCCAGACUCCUACGGGAGGCAGCAGUGGGGAAUCUUCGACAAUGGGCGCAAGCCUGAUCCAGCCAUGCCGCGUGAGUGAAGAAGGCCUUCGGAUUGUAAAGCCCUGUUAUUAGGAAAGAACAGAAGCGUGUUAAUCCCCCGAUGUUCUGACGGUACCCAAAGAGAAAGCACCGGCUAACUUCGUG